AUUGAACGCUGGCGGCAGGCCUAACACAUGCAAGUCGAACGGUAACAGGAAGCAGCUUGCUGCUUCGCUGACGAGUGGCGGACGGGUGAGUAAUGUCUGGGAAGCUGCCUGAUGGAGGGGGAUAACUACUGGAAACGGUAGCUAAUACCGCAUAAUGUCGCAAGACCAAAGAGGGGGACCUUCGGGCCUCUUGCCAUCGGAUGUGCCCAGAUGGGAUUAGCUUGUUGGUGGGGUAACGGCUCACCAAGGCGACGAUCCCUAGCUGGUCUGAGAGGAUGACGAGGGCCGCUGGGACAGCAACCCGGUCCAGACUCCGACGGGAGGCAGCAGUGGGGAAUGUUACACAAUGGGCGGAAGGCUGAAGCAUCGAUGCCGGGGGUAGGAAGAAGGCAUCUGGUUUGCAAAGUACUUUCGUCGUGAAGGGAGGGAGAAAGGUCAAUACCUUCGCGCAUUGCCGUGGCCCGCAGAAGAAGCACCGCCUAACUCCGUG
rnacentral:rRNA from 1 species